GUCCGGAUGGUCUAGUGGUACGAUUCCUGCUUAGGGAUGCUCGACAUCGUGAAAUGCAGGCGGUCCCGCGUUCGAAUCGCGGUUCGGACC